rnacentral:rRNA from 3 species
AAGCUCGUAGUUGGAUUUCUGUUGUAUUUUUAUAAUAUUAUUAAGGUAAUAUUUAUAAUAUCAACAUCCUUCCUAUUAUAUUUUUAAUAUAUAGGAAAUUUUACUUUGAGAAAAUUAGAGUGCUUAAAGCAGGCAACUGCCUUGAAUACUCCAGCAUGGAAUAAUAAGUAAGGACUUUUGUCUUUCUUGUUGGUUCUAGGAUAAAAGUAAUGGUUAAUAGGGACAGUUGGGGGCAUUCGUAUUUAACAGUCAGAGGUGAAAUUCUUAGAUUUGUUAAAGACGAACUACUGCGAAAGCAUUUGCCAAGGAUGUUUUCAUUAAUCAAGAACGAAAGUUAGGGGAUCGAAGACGAUCAGAUACCGUCGUAGUCUUAACCAUAAACUAUGCCGACUAGAGAUUGGAGGUUGUUCCUUACUCCUUCAGCACCUUA